rnacentral:rRNA from 1 species
UACGGAGGGUGCGAGCGUUAAUCGGAAUUACUGGGCGUAAAGCGCGCGUAGGCGGUUCGUUAAGUCAGCCGUGAAAGCCCCGGGCUUAACCUGGGAAUCGCGGAUGAUACUGGCGGACUAGAGUGUGGCAGAGGGUGGCGGAAUUUCCGGUGUAGCAGUGAAAUGCGUAGAGAUCGGAAGGAACACCAGUGGCGAAGGCGGCCAUCUGGGCCAACACUGACGCUGAGGUGCGAAAGCGUGGGGAG